AGAGUUUGAUCAUGGCUCAGGACGAACGCUGGCGGCACGCUUAACACAUGCAAGUCGAACGGACUUGAGAGAGCUUGCUCUCUCAAGUUAGUGGCGGACGGGUGAGUAACACGUGAGCAACCUGCCUUUAAGAGUGGGAUAACGGUCGGAAACGACCGCUAAUACCGCAUAAUAUACAUGAAUCGCAUGGUUUGUGUAUCAAAGAUUUAUCGCUUAAAGAUGGGCUCGCGUCUGAUUAGCUGGUUGGUGAGGUAACGGCUCACCAAGGCGACGAUCAGUAGCCGUACUGAGAGGUAGAACGGCCACAUUGGGACUGAGACACGGCCCAGACUCCUACGGGAGGCAGCAGUGGGGAAUAUUGCACAAUGGAGGAAACUCUGAUGCAGCGAUGCCGCGUGAGGGAAGAAGGUUUUCGGAUUGUAAACCUCUGUCUUAAGGGACGAUAAUGACGGUACCUUAGGAGGAAGCUCCGGCUAACUACGUGCCAGCAGCCGCGGUAAUACGUAGGGAGCGAGCGUUGUCCGGAAUUACUGGGUGUA
rnacentral:rRNA from 1 species